AGCGCCCUGAACAUGGUGAGUUGCUGUAUGGCUGUAGACCUGGAGCCUGAUGGGAUCCUCUGUAUGGUCAUACAUCCUGGCUGCGUUUGCACCGACAUGGGGGGGUCCUGAGGCCUCACUGAGUGCGUAGGAGAGCGUCUCUUCCCUCCUGUCUGUGAUUGGAGGACUGACUGAAAAGGAUCACGGGUUGUUUCUGAACUUCACCGGGGACAUUUUGCCGUGAGGCAUAUUUUGGCCACAUGCAGCUGGAGGGUGAGAAGUAGACCGAUGGACUAUCCGGCCAACGAGAGGCUGCUGUCGACUGCUGGAGACCUGAGAAUGCCGUUCUCAGACACGGUCAAGUACUCCAUCCUGGGCAUCUCGGUCGCUCUUCUUCUGCUGGCGCUGGGCAUCUUGGUGUGGCAGGCCUUCAGGUGCUGCACCACAAUCACCCGGCAAGAUGCUGUAAACAGGGAUCUGCUGUGCUCAGUCGAAAAGUCAAGAACGAGGAGAAGCUACUCAGGAGCUCCAUGCACUAGGAUGGAGAAUGUCAGCACAGAGGUCCGCAGGCUGAGCCGGUGUCUGUCGGGGGCCUCGUAUCCCGCCUCGGAAUCCAGACAGGUGGACGGAGAGGAGCAGGACACCAUUAAAAAGGUCGAUGGAACGAUUCGUUUUUCCAUCUAUUAUGACCAACUCCAGUCGCAGCUGGUUGUCACCGUCCUGCAGGUGGAAGGGCUUCUGUGGCCAAGCCAGACAUGCAGCCUCCAGCCAUUUGUCAAGCUGAGACUCAUGUGGGCCGGUUCAGUGGGAGUGGAAGUGGACGACUGUACGGACAAGGAGGUUGGCCUUCUUUUGUCACCACAUGCAGUGUGUUAGUCAACAAA
ensembl:lncRNA